UACAGAGGUCUCAAGCGUUGUUCGGAUUCAUUGGGCGUAAAGGGUGCGUAGGCGGCGCGGUAAGUCGGGUGUGAAGUCUCGGGGCUUAACUCCGAAACUGCAUUCGAUACUACCGUGCUUGAGGACUGGAGAGGAGACUGGAAUUUACGGUGUAGCGGUGAAAUGCGUAGAUAUCGUAAGGAAGACCAGUGGCGAAGGCGGGUCUCUGGACCGUAACUGACGCUGAGACACGAAAGCGUGGGGAGCAAACAGG
rnacentral:rRNA from 1 species